rnacentral:tRNA from 1 species
GGGACCGUAGCUCAAUGGUUAGAGCAGAGGACUCAUAAUCCUUUGGUUCUGGGUUCGAGUCCCAGCGGUCCCA